UAGGCGGAGAUGCAAGUUGGGAGUGAAAUCCCGGGGCUCAACCCCGGAACUGCUUUCAAAACUGCAUCCCUUGAGUAUCGGAGAGGCAAGCGGAAUUCCUAGUGUAGCGGUGAAAUGCGUAGAUAUUAGGAGGAACACCAGUGGCGAAGGCGGCUUGCUGGACGACAACUGACGCUGAGGCGCGAAAGCGUGGGGAGCAAACAGGAUUAGAUACCCUGGUAGUCCACGCUGUAAACGAUGAAUACUAGGUGUGGGAGGACUGACCCCNUUCCGUGCCGCAGUUAACACAAUAAGUAUUCCACCUGGGGAGUACGACCGCNAGGUUGAAACUCAAAGGAAUUGACGGGGGCCCGCACAAGCAGU
rnacentral:rRNA from 1 species